rnacentral:rRNA from 1 species
UACGGAGGGUGCAAGCGUUAUCCGGAUUCACUGGGUUUAAAGGGUGUGUAGGCGGGUAUUUAAGUCAGUGGUGAAAUCUCCAGGCUCAACCUGGAAACUGCCAUUGAUACUAUUUAUCUUGAAUCUUGUUGAGGUGGGCGGAAUAUAUCAUGUAGCGGUGAAAUGCUUAGAUAUGAUAUAGAACACCGAUUGCGAAGGCAGCUCACUAAACAAGCAUUGACGCUGAGGCACGAAAGCGUGGGGAGCAAACAGG